UAGGGAAUCUUCCGCAAUGGGCGAAAGCCUGUCGGAGCAACGCCGCGUGAGUGAUGAAGGUCUUCGGAUCGUAAAACUCUGUUAUUAGGGAAGAACAAAUGUGUAAGUAACUAUGCACGUCUUGACGGUACCUAAUCAGAAAGCCACGGCUAACUACGUGCCAGCAGCCGCGGUAAUACGUAGGUGGCAAGCGUUAUCCGGAAUUAUUGGGCGUAAAGCGCGCGUAGGCGGUUUUUUAAGUCUGAUGUGAAAGCCCACGGCUCAACCGUGGAGGGUCAUUGGAAACUGGAAAACUUGAGUGCAGAAGAGGAAAGUGGAAUUCCAUGUGUAGCGGUGAAAUGCGCAGAGAUAUGGAGGAACACCAGUGGCGAAGGCGACUUUCUGGUCUGUAACUGACGCUGAUGUGCGAAAGCGUGGGGAUCAAACAGG
rnacentral:rRNA from 1 species